rnacentral:rRNA from 1 species
AAUUGGAGGCCUGCAUGAAUGGCUUAACGAGCGCCCUGCUGUCUCUCUUCCCAUGAACUUUUAAAUUAACUUUCGCGUGCAAAGGCGCGAAUGGCUGAGUUAGACGAAAAGACCCUAUGCAUCUUUACUGAGAGAGAAGAAAGUUCUUUAGCUUGGUUUAGCUGGGGCAGCUGAGGAAAAGGCAAAAUUUCCUUAAUAUAAAUCAUACUGGUGGGUUUAGAUCCAGGCUCUUUAGCGGGCUUGACAAGUAGAAAAGUUACGCUAGGGAUAACAGCGUUAUCCUUCUGUGGAGGUCUUAUCUGCAGGAGGGAUUGCGACCUCGAUGUUGAAUUAGGGAUAUACCAGAAAGGCGCAGAAGCUUUUAUUGUGGGUCUGU